UUCUGCACAGCAAAGGAAAACAAAAAACUAAACUAAAAGACAACCUACUGAAUAGGAGAAAAUAUUUGCAAAUGACAUAUCCAAUAAAGGAGAAGUAAUCAAAAUAUCUAAAAACCUUAUAAAACUCAACACCCAAAAAGCAAAUAGUCCAAUUAAAAAAUGAACAAGAGACAUGAACAAACAUAUCUCCAAAGAAGAGCUACAGAUUGCCAACAGAUACAUGAAAAGAUGCUCUCAACAUCACUCAUCAUCAGGGAAAUGCAAAUUAUCACCUUACACCUGUCAGAAUGGCUAAAAUAAAAAACUCAAGAAACAAGUGUUGGUGAGGAUGUGGAGAAAAAGGAACCCUUGUUCACUGCUGGGAGCACAAACCAGUACAGCCACUGUGGAAGACAGUAUGGAGGUUCCUCAAAAGGUUAAAAAUAGAACUACCCUAGGAUCCAGGAAUUUGCACUACUGGGUAUUUACCCAAAGAAUACAAAAACACUAAUUUGAAGGGAUACAUGCACCCUGAUGUUUAUUGCAUCAUUAUUUACAAUAGCCAAACUAUGGAAGCAGCCCAACUGUCCAUCAAUAGAUUAAUAAAUGAAUGGAAGCCAUCAUUAUUAUCCUACUUCUGUCCCUAUUGAAAUUCAAUCUUAAAGCCCCCAGGUUUUUACUUUUCUCUUUCAUACACAGGCAGAAUAUGUUGUACUUUUGUUGAGGUGAAAAAUCCAAAUAAUUAGAACAAAGUUUUCAAUGAGUUUGCUCUUCAAGCUUCUAGGAUUCUCUCUAAUAAAAGUGUCAGUUUAAUCACUGAAUCAUUUUUUACAUGGCUUUGUGUGGCUUUAAUCUCGGGGUUGUAAGCAGUUAGAAGAAGAGAGCAAUAUUUUAGAUCAGUGGUUCUCAAGCUUUAGAGUACAUCAGAAUAACCUGGAGGGCUAAUACAAAACUCAUUUUGCCCAUCCUGACCCUCAGCACUUCAGACAUGGUGCCUGAGCAUCUGCAUUUUUAAUAGGUGAUGCUGAUGCUGAUACUGCUGGCCCAGAACCCGGCUUUGAAAAUUACUGAUUUACAUAAUAAACACCUGAGCAUUUGGAACUGUUAGAGAGCAGAACUAUUUUGUAAUGAAAAGUAUAGCAGAUUUGAUGGGGGGAGUCUUGGGUUCAAGUGGCAAAAUGCAGACUACAAGUGGUGAAGCAACUGAGUUUUCAAGACUCAGUUUCAUCAUAAAAUCAGGAAUGAAAAUAAUGCCUGUGUCACAGAAUUGCGGGUAAGAUGAGAUAAGAUCAUGUGUGUGAAAGAGCUUGGUAAAUGGCAAAGUACAAUCUAAGUUUAACUCGUUCUGGAUGUGCUUUCAGUAGUCAGUUUUUUCUUCUUAAGAUUUUAACUUUUGGGAUAGAAAUCUUUCAUCAUUAUCAUCAUCAUGAAAAUAGUAACAAUAACCAUGUCUCCCAGUCUCCCACUUGUGUACUUUUUGUGCUAGGCACUUAACACAUUUUGUUUACAUCUUUCAAAAGCCCCAUAAAAUCUAUUUUAUCAUAUAAAUGUUUGCUUUCCUAAAAGGAAUAGAGUCAGAAUUUACAUUAUUUUUUGAAGAUGGAGGAAGAGGCUACGAUGUAAGCAAUGCAUGCAGUCUCUAAAAGCUCAAAAGGGCAGAGAAACGGCCUUUAGAAGGAAUGCAGCGGUGCUAACACAUUUUAGACUUCGGAUCUCCUGAACUGUAAGAUAAUAAGUUUUAAGUGCAUGCAUUUCUGGUAAUUUCUUACACCAGCAAUAGGAGGCUAACACAAUUAAAAUUUUCAAUGAAAAAUUUAGAAGAUUGGGUACAGAAGCGAUGUUUACAUUUUUCAUUGUCCAGGCAGCGCAUGUGAAAAUCAGUUCACACUAGCAGCGCCCCGGUACCAUCUCUUCUUAUUCAGGUUCAGGAACAAUUUUCUUGUGUAUUUCAUUGUCAAAUGUGCUCCUCCUCCCUAAUUUCAUAAUUUCCACUGAGAGAAAAAAAGAGCAACUCUGUUAUACUCACAAUGUUGUGGCUCUUUAGAACCUGUUGGUGUGAAAAUAGUAUCUUCUUGUUUUUGCAGUUCCCUAAUACCAUUUAUUUAUAUUGGUUAUAUUAUUAGUUCUGACGAUGCCACAUCCAUUGUGCUGCUUAUGAAUACUGGCUGCCAGUGAGCUGAUAGUCAUCAGGUGAUGAUCAUCAUAAAUGCAAGUCUUAGAAUAGGCAGAAGAAAAAUAUGAACGAUAAUUUCUGGUCAUGUUAAAUUUACCUUUCAGAAUUUUAUAACACAAAAUAGAACAACAUACCUUACAACUAUGCUUUUCUUCAAGUCUUUAGGCCGUAAUCACUGCAUUCCUGGGAUCUCAUUCAAUGUUAGCUCGCUCCUGCCUUCUAUACAGCCACUAGCACUUACCUGGAGUUAACUGUGGUCCAGAAGCAGGUGAUCCUCCAUCUGAUACAUGGUCAGAAGGUCCUAACACUACAUCACAACGCCUGUAUCCUUCACCUCACUACCUCUCACGUUAUCAUCUCCCAUCAUCACAAGGAGGAGAAGCUGCCCAAGACUGGAGGAACAUAACAUGGGAAGAAAAUGAGUGCAGUAAGAGAAACUUAAGGGAAAACAAAAAUAAAACAAGGGAAAUAAAGGACUCCAGGACCUCUUAUUGUCUUCUCUUUUGGAACCAGAAGCCACCCUGUAUGGGGCACCUGAAUCUUGCCACUGACCUUCCUGUACCAGGCUCAAUCUCUCUCUCCGACCCUCUCAUCAUUUAAGGUAAAUGGAUGGAUGCACCGUAGCUGUUGUGGCUAUGUUGUGUUUUUCAUGCUCGAUUCCACAUUCGUGUCACUGUCAGGCUUCUUGACACAUGAGAGAAAGGAAUCUUCCACAACUCCUGGCUAAACAGAGGACCACUCUCUGCAUGAGUGUAGAGGAGGAUUAGACUGGGGAUGUGGCAGCCUCUUUACUUACUGUAGUAAUGCUCUAAAUGAAAAUUUGAGUUUCCUGAAAUCACCAUGUUUUGUUUUUUUUUUUUUUUUUUUGGUGGGGGGAGGAGGUCUAUACUUUUGCCAUUUGUUUUUAAGGUUGAUUAAUACUCUUUCUCACUUCCAGGCCUCUUUAACUGUUUUUCCUCCGCCUAGAAUGCAUCCCCCCAAGUUUUCAUAUAGCUAGUUCUUUUCUUAUCCUUCCCAGCUGCACCAGGGAAACAUUCACUGGUACAUCCCUUUGGGAGAUACUAUAGCCAGACUCCAUCAGCAUCUAUUUCAACCUUCUACUGGUGAGCCUUCAUUUUUUUGAAGAGUUUAGAAAACUCAAAAAUAUACUUCUCUGCUCCCUUUGCGGCCAGGGUUCUAGCUUAGUUUUGGUUUCUUCAGUGAACUACAGGCAUACUUUGUUUUACUGCAUCUUGCAGACAUUGUGUUUGUCUGUUUUUUUAAACAGUUGAAGAUUAAUGGCAACCCUGCAUCGAGAAAUCUGUCAGCACCAUUUUUUCCUACAGCAUCUGCUCUCUUCAUGUCUCUGUGUCACAUUUUGGUAAUUUUCACAAUAUUUCAAACUUUCCCAUUAUUAUUCUAUGUGUUAUAAUGAUCUGUGAUAAGUGAUCUUUGAUAUUACUACUGUAAUUGCUUUGGGGUACCACAAACUGUGCUCACAUAAGAUGGUAAACUUAGUCGGUAAAUGUGGUAUGUGUUCUGACUGCUUCACCAGCCCGCUGUUCCACCAUCUCUCUCUCUCUCCCUCUCCUCAGGCCUCCCUAUUCCCCGAGACACAACAAUAUUGAAAUGAGGUCAAUUAAUAACCCUACAGUGCCCUCUAAGUGUUCAAGUGAAAGGAUGAGCUGCACAUCUCUCACUUGAAUCGAAAGGUAGAAAUGAUUAAGCUUAGUGUGCAAGGUAUGUCAAAAGCCACGGUAGGCCAAAAGCUAGGCUUCAUGCUCUAGUUAGCCAAGUUGAGAAUGAAAAGGAAAAGUUCUUGAAGGAAAGUAAAAGUGCUACUCCUGCGAAGGCACAAAUGAUAAGAAAGUGAAAUAGCCUUCUUGUUGAUAUGGAGAAAGCGUUAGCGGUCUGGAUGGAAGAUCAAACCAGCCACAACAUUACCUUAAAUCAAAGCCUAAUCCCAGAGCAAGACCUUAACUCUCUUCAGAUCUGUGAAGGCUGAGAGAGGUGAAGAAGCUGCAGAAGAAAAGUCUGAAGCUGGCAGAGGUUGGCUCAUGAGGUUUAAAGAAAGAAAAUUCUUCAUAACAUCAAGUGCAAGGUGAAGCAGCAAGUGCUGAUGUGGAAGCUGCAGGAAGUUCUCCAGAAGAUCUAGUGAAGAUAAUUAAUGAAGGUGGCUACACUAAACAACAGGUUUCCAAUAGAGAGGAAGCACCUUCUAUUGGAAGAAGAUGCCAUGUAGGACUUUAACAGCUUGAGACAAGUUAUUUGCAAAUAUCUUCUUCCAUUCAGUAGGCUGCCUUUUUGUUUUGGUUUUGUUAUGUAAAACCGUUCUUGUUUGAUAUAGUCCCACUUGUUUAUUUUUGCUUUUGUUGCCCUUGCCUGAGGAGACAGAUGAUGUCAGAGUUUAUUGCCUAUGUUUUCUUCUAAGAGUCUUAUGGUUUCCACUAUGACCUUUAAGUCUUUAAUCCAUUUUGAGUUUAUUUUUGUAUAUAGUAUAAGUGGCCCAGUUUCAUUCUUUUGCACGUAGCUGUCCAGUUUUCUCAACACCAUUUACUGAAGAGACUGUCUUUUAACCGUUGUAUAUUCUUACCUUCUUUGUUGAAGACUAAUUAACCAUAGGUCAAUACAUUGAUUGACCUCCUG